ACCAAAUUAUAUGCCACAUACGACUGCAUUCUUAGUACGAAAUAAGAAUUAGCCAUGCGAAGCAGUCUUUCAUAAUUUUCUUUACUAUUAUUAUUAAAAUAAAGUAGUUAAGCAUUUUCGUUAAAAACUACAACGGGUUAAAAAAACGUACGCUGCAGUUGUAGAAAACAUCACAACACAUUUGUGAGGAAAAAAUUCUGAGGUUUGUUGUGAGGUUAUUCUUACUCAAAACCCACAAGAAAAAAGACCAAAAAACUCAGCACAUGAGGUGAAAAGCACUUUGCUUUGAACCAGCUGUUUUACGUAAAAUGACAACUAAAAAAAGAUUUCAAAUUAUGAAAGGACAUUUCAGGAGAAGCUCCAGCGUUACAGAAUAUUAUUUUCGCACAUGUAUUAAAUAUAUACAUACAUAAAUAUUUAAAAAAUUAAAUUUUGUAUGAAUUAUUUAAAAAUAAA